rnacentral:rRNA from 1 species
GAUGAACGCUGGCGGCGUGCCUAAUACAUGCAAGUCGAGCGAACAGACGAGGAGCUUGCUCCUCUGACGUUAGCGGCGGACGGGUGAGUAACACGUGGAUAACCUACCUAUAAGACUGGGAUAACUUCGGGAAACCGGAGCUAAUACCGGAUAAUAUAUUGUACCGCAUGGUUCAAUAGUGAAAGACGGUUUUGCUGUCACUUAUAGAUGGAUCCGCGCCGCAUUAGCUAGUUGGUAAGGUAACGGCUUACCAAGGCAACGAUGCGUAGCCGACCUGAGAGGGUGAUCGGCCACACUGGAACUGAGACACGGUCCAGACUCCUACGGGAGGCAGCAGUAGGGAAUCUUCCGCAAAGGGCGAAAGCCUGACGGAGCAACGCCGCGUGAGUGAUGAAGGUCUUCGGAUCGUAAAACUCUGUUAUUAGGGAAGAACAAAUGUGUAAGUAACUAUGCACGUCUUGACGGUACCUAAUCAGAAAGCCACGGCUAACUACGUG